rnacentral:rRNA from 1 species
UGGGGAAUUUUGGACAAUGGGCGAAAGCCUGAUCCAGCAAUGCCGCGUGUGUGAAGAAGGCCUUCGGGUUGUAAAGCACUUUUGUCCGGAAAGAAAUCCUUGGCUCUAAUACAGUCGGGGGAUGACGGUACCGGAAGAAUAGCACCGGCUAACUACGUGCCAGCAGCCGCGGUAAUACGUAGGGUGCAAGCGUUAAUCGGAAUUACUGGGCGUAAAGCGUGCGCAGGCGGUUUGCUAAGACCGAUGUGAAAUCCCCGGGCUCAACCUGGGAACUGCAUUGGUGACUGGCAGGCUAGAGUAUGGCAGAGGGGGGUAGAAUUCCACGUGUAGCAGUGAAAUGCGUAGAGAUGUGGAGGAAUACCGAUGGCGAAGGCAGCCCCCUGGGCCAAUACUGACGCUCAUGCACGAAAGCGUGGGGAGCAAACAGGAUUAGAUACCUGGUAGUCCACGCCCUAAACGAUGUCAACUAGUUGUUGGGGAUUCAUUUCCUUAGUAACGUAGCUAACGCGUGAAGUUGACCGCCUGGGGAGUACGGUCGCAAGAUU